ensembl:lincRNA Platr4 pluripotency associated transcript 4
GAUCGCCAUGAUGGGGAAGAAGGAAGAGGAGACCUAAAGGCCAGCUGACAUGUGAGAAUCAGGGAAAGUGGCCACACGGGCCACUUCCACAGCUGUGUUUGAGCAGGACUUUGGGUCCCUAACCUGCAACUCAGCACUCAGUCCAUCAUGGGCUUUGCUAGUCUCUGUGACUUCUCCAGGGCAGGAAAGUGACAGGUUUCUGCGCAAGGGAGCCCGAGGUACCUGGUUCAGGAUGGAGAGGGCACUUGAGAGGCGUCAAAAGCAAGCACAGUUAGAGGACAUCAGCGAUGUUAAAACCCCACGAGGGUCAACAGUAGCCCAGGCAAAAUAAAGGAGCCUGAAGUGGAAAAACAGAAAUGGAACAAGACGUUUGUUCUGGAGCACGUGAGAUUGUCCUUCUAAGACAUUUCCAGAAGUAUUCAAAGGAAGAUUUAAUGGGAAAUCAUUAUGCAAAAGAGUCAGUAAUAUAUUUUAGUUUCAAAAAGUACGGAGCGUGACGCCUGUCAAUUAUACCUUCUGCAAAGGUGAGUGGCGGUUGUCCUUGCUGUUCCAAAAUGCAAAGAGAAACAAACAAACAAACAAACAAGCAAACCAGCUACUCCUAUUCCGCACUCCAAACACCAAGCAGAAAUGCUUCUGGGACAAACUGAGCUUCAUUCUUUAUGAAAAUGAAAACACUUCUUUCUGUGCACUAGGAAAAUGUUCUGCCUCUGAGCUGCAAAACCAGCACCAAACUUGAAAAGUUUGUGCAUCAAAGGAAAAAGGCAACCUACAGGAUGGGGGAGAAUAUUUGCAGGACACAUGUCCUGGAAGGAAUACAUAUUUAGACUGAAUAAAAUGAGUAAGAGGAGGGAUAGGGAGUUCGUGUUCAAUGUUGAGAGCUUGGGACAGUUGAGAAAACGCUCCGGAGUGUUCUGCAGAUGAAUGAUGGUGACGACUGCAUCAGUGUGAAUGUCCUUAACGCCGUCAAAAAUUGGUUAUAAUGGCAAAUUUUAUGCUACAUAUGUUUUACUACAAUAAAAAUGCCAGGAAAAUCUAACUGCUCCAAAUCCUGAAUUUAUUAACCCAAUAAAUUAGGAGAUGGUUAUUGACCUAUAAAUGGAUUUGUCAAUUUUUAAAAUGAUUUCCUUUAAAUUGAAUUCUUUCCUAGAGCUUUAUUGUCUCUUCACAAACCAUUAAACACUUGUUAAAGUGUUCAGAGAGGGCUGAGAUGGAGGAGGAAGUGAAAACCAAACAAACAGAUGAGGGACCUUCCCCAAAUGAUGUCUGCUAACAGGCUUCUUGGGUAUUCUAUUUAUAUAGAUUUUACAAGUGUUUUAUUUGAGAGGAAAAAUCCCUAGACCUUACAUAGUACAAUGAACUUCUUAUGCCUGUCAGCUAGAUUUAUUAAUUUUUAACGAGGUGUAUUACUUUUAAAAGCUAUCUAUUUACUAUUGGGGGAGGGAGAAGGACAAAGGACAUCUUGCAGAAGUCUGGUCUCUCCUGCUAUGUGGGUUCUGGAGAUAGGAAAUCAGGCAGGUUGUCAGGCCUAGAAGCAAAGGCCUGUCUGCACUGAGCCAUCUUACUUGUCUUAUUUUGUUACUUUUGAUGACCUAUUUUAGACAUCACUAUUCUAUAGCCCUAAGUAUAACUUCAAGUAUGUAUCUUCCACAAUGACUUUAUGACCAUGAAAUCAAUUCAAGAAAUUUAACAUGUAUGCAGUUCUAUCCAGCGUACAUACAGAUUUCUCAUCCCCCCUUUUACUGUAGUUUAUAGAAAAAGCAAUUCUCUUCCAUAUCUAGAGUUUGACAAGGAAUAUGCAUUGCAUUUGGUUUCUGUGUUCUUUAAUCUCUUGUUGUACAGAACUUCAACCUUUCAUGACAGGUUGAACAAUUUUGGAUCAUACAGGCUGUCAUGGUUUGAAUAUGUUUGGCCCAGGGAGUGGUACUGUUAGGGGUGUGGUCUUCUUGGAAUAGGUGUGUCACCGUGGGCGUGGGCUUUAAGACCCUCAUCCUUAGCUUCUGGAAGUCAGUCUUCCACUAGCAACCUUCAGAUGAAGAUGUAGAACUCUCACCAUCUCCUGCACUAUACCUGCCUGGAUAUCGCCAUGUUCCUGCCUUGAUGAUUAUGGACUGAACCUCUGAACCUGUAAGCCAGCCCCAAUUAAAUUUGUCCUUAUAAG